UCCAAAAAUAAAUAAACACUACACGAAAACAACAACAAAGACAAGGAGAAGAGAAGGGAGAAAAGCUUGACACAUACAAAAAUACAUACAUGCGACUGCUAUCGAGCAGCCAGUCAGAAAAGAGAAGAUGGGACAGCAGUACCUGCUCACUUCACCAAAGAAGGAGCGCUUCUGCCAAGGAGGAGGCAAAUA
rnacentral:ribozyme from 1 species